rnacentral:misc_RNA from 1 species
UCGUAACAAGGUUUCCGUAGGUGAACCUUCGGAAGGAUCAUUAUUGAGAUAUUGAUUUAUACACCUGUGAAUUUAUUUACUUGCUUGGCUGUUAGUCCUAGUGACUGCAGCCAGAUUUAAAACUACAAAAUUUUAUUUUAGUCUGAGAGAAUUCUAAAUUGAAAACUAUUAUCAACGGAUCUCUUGGUUCUCGCAUCGAUGAAGACCGCAGCAAAGCGCGAUAGAUAAUGUGAAUUGCAGACGUGAAUCAUUGAGUUGUUGAACGCACAUUGCGCUUUUCCUUACGGAAAAGCAUACCUGUGCGAGCGUCAUUUCUUUCUCCACUACCAGUGGGUAUUGGUACUAUACAAAGUACUUAAAACGAUUAUGCGUAUAUGUUAAUCACAAUGUGCGCUAUAAAAUCUUUAAUAUUGACCUCGUAUCAGGUAAGAGUACCCGCUGAACUUAAGCAUAUCAAUAA